UACGAAGGGGACUAGCGUUGUUCGGAAUCACUGGGCGUAAAGCGCACGUAGGCGGAUCGUUAAGUCGGGGGUGAAAUCCUGGAGCUCAACUCCAGAACUGCCUUCGAUACUGGCGAUCUAGAGUCCGGAAGAGGUGAGUGGAACUCCUAGUGUAGAGGUGGAAUUCGUAGAUAUUAGGAAGAACACCAGUGGCGAAGGCGGCUCACUGGUCCGGUACUGACGCUGAGGUGCGAAAGCGUGGGGAGCAAACAGG
rnacentral:rRNA from 1 species